rnacentral:lncRNA from 1 species
GGAAGCUGAACGUGCACACUUAACCGCUGCACCACCGGGCCGGCCCAAUGCAUGUUUAUUUUUUUUUAGUGGACCCAGGGUCCCCUUCAUGACCUCAUCCCCCUUCCGUGUCCCCGUCUCCCCCACACCCACCCCAGCCCCGACCCCAACCCAUGGCGUCUCCAGGAAUGCGUCUUUCCCUCCAUAGACAGAGUCACAUAGCCUCCCAGCCGGGGUCUGUUCCCCGUCUUAUAGAUUAUAGACUUUUCGAAGCCCACGAGGGCGUGCGUUCCUGUCCGCACGCGAUGAAAAGAAAUAUGCAACGGCCCCGGGGUCUGGUUCUGCCAGGUUGCCCACCCCGGCGGUCUGCGUGAGAGUGUCCACGCAGGUGGUGAGCCUCCCAUAUCAGCCGGCGGCCUCUCCCUGAGCCCCGAGCGUCCCGUGCGCUCUGCUCUGGCAGUCGCUGCGUCUCACCUUCCUUGCUUCCUUCCUUCCUUCUCGCCCCGCAGACCCCGGAGGAGGGAGCCUGGACCUCCGUCUACGCGGCCGUCGCCCCGGCCCUGGAAGGGGUCGGCGGCCGCUACCUUUACAACGAGAAGGAGACCCGGUCGCUCGCCAUCACCUAAGACCUGAAGCUUCAGCGACAGCUGUGGGCCAGGAGCUGCCAGAUGACCGGCAUCCCGGACGGGACGGGGGGCGUCUUCCCGGCAUCGCUGCCACGGCAGGAGGAAUAGGCGUUCAGGUCCAGGCAACUCAUCCUCCAUCAGCACGAAGGCCACUCUCUACGCCCUGGAAGUGGGCCCGUGGGCGGGCGAGUCCUUGGGGUUCCUUCCAGUUGGCUCCUAUAGGAGUUCAACCUGGCCCCCCCAAAACACACGUCUGCGUCCCAACCCCCACGACCCGUGAAUGUGAUCCCGUUUGGAAAAAGGAUCAUUGUGGAUGUCCUGAAGACCUCACGACGGGGAGAUCAUCCCGGUUCAUCCACAUGGACCCACCCGCCAGGCAAGGACGGUUCGAUCGUCUCUCUGAGGAUGGGUAUCGAGUCCUCAACACCCAACAUGGAGAGAUGACCCGUUUCUGGAGGGGUUCCCAUGCGCCCCGCAGCCCCCCGAUCGUAAGAUUCCACGCCGCUCAGAGACGCUUCUCAGGAGCUAAUGGAAUCGCAUGGACGGCGGGACUGAAAGAAAGUCUCUCCAGACUGUCACUACUCUGGAAGAACCAGGUCACUGUCCUGGUUUGCCUCCACUUAACCAUUUACGGGCAAAGAAAGCCAGGCGCCCUGCCUCCAGCUUUCCAACUCUACCGGUAUUCCAAGAUGGCGGACGUUGGUGACUCUGUUAAUCCGGAGGGCGUUACAUCAGCCGGAUCGCAUCCUAACAGCUCCUGUGAGGUGACAUGA